rnacentral:rRNA from 1 species
AGGUAUUAAAUGAUGUUCAUGAAACCUAGAGAAUUUGGCGGUGCUUUAGUCUUUUUAGAGGAACCUGUCCUAUAAUCGAUAAUCCACGUUGUUAUUACCCGUUUUGGUUAUAUAGUUUGUAUAUCGCCGUCAGAAGGAAAUUUCUUGAGAAUGAUAAUUUUUUUAAUAUUGGGGGAUAAGAUGACAGGUCAGGGUGCAGCUGAUGGAUGGGGAGGAGAUGGGUUACAAUGCGAAAUAUGUAAAUGGAUUCUCCUGCAGUUAGGGGAUGAAGGUGGAUUUAAGAGUAAUUUUU